rnacentral:rRNA from 1 species
AUUAAUCGGUUACAGAUGAGGAUGCGUCCCAUUAGAUAGUUGGUAGGGCAACGGCCUACCAAGUCAGCGAUGGGUAGGGGUUCUGAGAGGAAGGCCCCCCACAUUGGAACUGAGACACGGUCCAAACUCCUACGGGAGGCAGCAGUGAGGAAUAUUGGUCAAUGGCGAGAGCCUGAACCAGCCAAGUCGCGUGAAGGAUGACUGCCCUAUGGGUUGUAAACUUCUUUUUUAGGGGAAUAAAGUGAGUCACGUGUGACUUUUUGUAUGUACCCUACGAAUAAGCAUCGGCUAACUCCGUGCCAGCAGCCGCGGUAAUACGGAGGAUGCGUGCGUUAUCCGGAUUUAUUGGGUUUAAAGGGUGCGUAGGCCGACUUUUAAGUCAGCGGUGAAAUUUUCCGGCUCAACCGGGACAUUGCCGUUGAUACUGAUAGUCUUGAGUGUAAAUGAGGUAGGCGGAAUGUGUGGUGUAGCGGUGAAAUGCUUAGAUAUCACACAGAACUCCAAUUGCGAAGGCAGCUUACUGGCAUACAACUGACGCUGAGGCACGAAAGUGUGGGUAUCAAACAGGAUUAGAUACCCUGGUAGUCCACACAGUAAACGAUGAUAACUAGCCGUUGGCGAUAUACAGUCAGUGGCAGAGCGAAAGCAUUAAGUUAUCCA